CUGUUCCAGUUCAACAAGGAGGCGGAGCUCUGGCCCUUGGCUCCGCCCAGCAGACGCUGUCGAGUGUUUUCUUUAUCGCUGCUGUGGGACAGCAUGACGGCUCUCCUCUCCACCUGCUAACACAUGGAAAAAGUCUUGGUCAGCACACAGCCUCCAGGCACCACUCCAGCCACCAGGACGGGGGAGUCUCCUCUGAGCGUGAGACCCAGUCCAUCCUCCCCCCUCUGCAGACGGAUCACGUGGACGGGACCCCAGCGAGCCCGCGCACAAAACACAGACAGGGGCCCCUGCAGCACAGAGAAGCGGUUCAGCUCGAGAAGCAGGUCUCGUAAAACCUGGCUGAGCGGUGGUCCUGCGGGGACGUUGAUGUAGAACUGGAGGAGAGCCUUCUCUGCUUCCUCAUCAGCCGCCUCCUCCUCCUCAGCAGACACUGCAGAAGAAGACAAGUUAGCAUGGACACACAGCACACGAGGACAUGAGCACAGCGAUGUGGAGACCUGAACAUGAUGCGGCUGGGCCUCACUGAUCACUGCACAAAAACUGAAUUUGGUGUAACUGGAUCGUAUUUCAUGGACAAAAUGAUUUGGUGAUUUACAAGCUCCCUGUUGGACAGGACAUUGUUGUCAUUGUAACUCGGCCCAUAAAGCAGAGUUCAGGCAGAACUCUUCACGGAAUUUGAUCCAGACCAGACGAUAUGAUCCUGUGGACUCAUCCCGGUGCUUCGUGGGUGUGCUGCUCCUGGAGGAGAUGACCAAUAAACUUGCUGACAACAAAAUGUCAGAUUGCCGUGAAAGUAUUAAAUACUGAUGGAAGUGUUGCCUUCAGAGCAGUCCGAAACCUGAGCCUUUUCCUUACAGCGAUUACUUUUCCACCUUUACUUCAUUAUUUGAAACUUUGGCCACCGCACAGUGUGACAUUUCACACAGAAACAAAGGAAAAGCAUAACAGGUUCCUUUUAAAGUGAAACGUACUGAACGGUUUGACUUACUCGUGUGGUCGCAAAGUGCAACGGCAGCGUAGUAGUGUGAGAGGGCACGGAAGUGUUCGGAUUUGACCUGGACCAUGGACGCCCAAGAAAACGGCACAUAGUCCUUCAUCAGAGGCUGCGUCAUGGUCUGCUGCACUAACAGCCUCUUGUGCCAGACGCAGCUGGGAAGUGAAGUGUGUGUCCUGUGUGGUGAGCGUGACACGUUCAAACACACACUCCUGCACCUGGGCAACCAUCAGCCGGACCAGCAUGCAAAGCGACGGGCUGCUCAUGUCCAGACUCGGAGCGUUGGAGAAAUUCUCCUUAAGUACCUGCAGCUCUCUGAAAGGCGUCCACAGCUUUGUCUAUGCCAGCUGUGGCAGAACGGUCCUGCCGAGCUCCAAUCUGUGUGUACAGAGCGCCGAUGUUGAACAACACGCUUCCUUUCUCGAAGGCCAACGUACGCUGACACGACGGAACGCCUGUCAGAGAGUCGUACCUGUGGGGCAGACAGGUGGGCAUUAACUGUCCCAUCGGUGUGAAAGAGCUUUUUCUGCCACUCACAGGCUGAGCUCUGACUGUCCAACAUGGUCUUCCCACAUGUCAGACCCUCAGAGUAAACACCUCAGCCUGUCAGCGGCUUAAAAAGCAGGGAUGGGCGAGUACAUAUUUCUGACAUAAACAUAGAAGACUGCAAACAGAAAGUUUCAAGAGGCGGUAUGAAGAGUAGUUUGUUUAAUAAAAGUAACUUGCUAAAAGACUUCAGGCUGAAACACAAGGACGAACACAAAGAGGCUGAAGCUGCUGCGGUGGAAAAGAAGAAUCUCCCACAGACCGUUAACAGACCAGUCUGUUUUAUUUUGCACUUUUAUUUAUUUAAUUCAAACAAAUACUAAAACUCAGAGAGCUGAUUGUGUUUUAUUUUACACUAUAGUUUCUUUAUAUAAAUACUAAAACUCUCUAUUGUAGGAUGACUGCUGCCUUUUUCAGAAAUAAAAGGUGUUUGUUCAAAAUG